AGGAAACCAUGGCACAUUCGAAAAGCAAAUCAAGAACACAGGUUCAAAAGAGAAAGAUAAUAAAGAAACAAGAGAAAACAGAGAGGAGAAAAAAAUUGCUGAGCUGGAUCUCGAUUCUGAAUGGUCGAGAAAGAUCGAUGAAGCUCUCAAAGGUUGGACAAAUUUUCCAGAUAUGCAAGAAACUGUGACACCCUAUCUAUGCGAAUCAAGAAGCAGUAUAUACUGAUUAUUGCCUCCUCAAGGAUCUUUAUGCUAAAUUGAAGGGUGAACAAGUGUCGGUCACUGUUAAGAUUUUCAUUUCCCAGAUUGUGAUUAGCUAUGCAUACAAAAAAAAAAGAAGCUAAGAUGAUUCAUAGUUUUGUCAAGAUGAUGGAAGCUCAUAGUGAAAUUCUUUCGGAUGACCAGAAAGAGUGGAUUGAUACCCAGCUUGAUUCAGAGAGUUGUUGUCUAAACUCUAAAGAUAGUUCGUGCAAGCUCAAAAAAAACAUAAAAAAUAGAAUGGGGUUGCUGGAACACCGGUAUAACUGCCCUAAGAAUUCUAUAGACAAAGAACUACAAGUAAAGUUGCAGCCGUUGAAGGAUAUUUCACACCGUCCUGAGGAUUUCUCUCCUGAUAACUUUGAUAAAAAAAAAAGGAGGAGGAUUCAGAGUUUGUUAUAGAGUUUAAGGCUGAGAAGGGUCGCAUCCAUCGGGAAAUUGUCGAUUCUUAUGCUCCUUGGGUUGAUGCAUUGGAUUUUGUAGUUUUCUUAACCAAGUAUGGUCUUGCAAGCAUAUCUGUAUGUGUCCCAGGCAGGUAAACUAAUUUUGGCACAUAUAGUAGUUACAUUAUCUUUGCUGAGCUUGUGUCUGGUAAAUAGUAUUUUGCGUGGUUAUGCCCAUCUCUCUAUGUCUCGUCAGGGAGAUCUUGAAAUGAAGUGGAGGAUGGAGGAGAGAAACAAGAUGAAGAAACUAAGCUAAAUAAAACUAAGCUCAGAUAGUCAUGUGAUAUAUGCUGCAAUAAAACUAAGCUCAGAUGUUUUACAUCUCAGCUUUCUUAAAGCUAGCUUUUCAGAUUUAUGCUUUUGUUUUUGAACGACUGUUUUAUUUAUAUCUGCACAUAGCAACAAUCAAGCAACAAUUAGCGGCUACACUUUGAGCACUAACACAACUGUGGAAGAUGAAAGAUGAAAAGGAGUUUGAUACUUGUGGACAUGUGUUGCAGUAUUAGUCCAUCCAAAAAAAAUACUUGCCAGAAAUGUACAUCAAGAAGAUGGAUGAGCUUUGUGCUACAGAUAAUCCUGGAAUGCCAAGUGGCCACAGUAAUCUGGCUUAGAAAUAUCAAACGUAGCUGACACAACUCUUAAGUAUUAGAAUCUUCACAUAAUCUUCACAACUUGAGAAAGUCUUCUUUAAGGAGAUGUUUCCAACCAUAAAUGGUGAAUUCUCUGUGAAAUCCUUUUAUGCACCUUCCCUGUAAAGUCGCUCCAUUCCAAAACUCAAACAAAUCCAGAACUGUUCCAUGAG